rnacentral:rRNA from 1 species
CAAGUCGAGGGGCAGCACGGUGUAGCAAUACACUGGUGGCGACCGGCGCACGGGUGCGUAACGCGUAUGCAACCUACCCAUAACAGGGGGAUAACACUGAGAAAUUGGUACUAAUACCCCAUAACAUCAGGACCGGCAUCGGUUCUGGUUGAAAACUCCGGUGGUUAUGGAUGGGCAUGCGUUGUAUUAGCUGGUUGGUGAGGUAACGGCCCACCAAGCCUUCGAUGGAUAGGGGUUCUGAGAGGAAGGUCCCCACAUUGGAACUGAGACACGGUCCAAACUCC